UGCCUAGCCCUCAUAGCUGGUCUAUGAGAUAUGGCAGAAAAAACCUACCACAGGAUAGAGAGCUCGUCGUCAGAGCACCUGUGGUAGGUCAUAUCCCGAAGGGGUAUGGGUGGUCGCAAGACCAUC
rnacentral:sRNA from 1 species